AUUGAACGCUGGCGGCAUGCCUAACACAUGCAAGUCGAACGGGGCAGCAAUGCCUAGUGGCGGACGGUUGAGGAAUACGUAGGAAUCUGCCCUUAAGUGGGGGAUAACCAGGGGAAACCCUGACUAAUACCGCAUGAUCUCUUCGGAGCAAAGAGGGGGACCGCAAGGCCUCUCGCUUCUGGAUGAGCCUACGUCUGAUUAGCUAGUUGGUAGGGUAAAGGCCUACCAAGGCGACGAUCAGUAACUGGUCUGAGAGGAUGAUCAGUCACACCGGAACUGAGACACGGUCCGGACUCCUACGGGAGGCAGCAGUGGGGAAUAUUGGACAAUGGGCGCAAGCCUGAUCCAGCAAUGCCGCGUGUGUGAAGAAGGCCUUCGGGUUGUAAAGCACUUUAGCCUGGAAAGAAAAAACUUUGGUUAACACCCAAAGUCUUGACGGUACCAGGAGAAUAAGCACCGGCUAACUCUGUGCCAGCAGCCGCUGUAACAC
rnacentral:rRNA from 1 species